CAACCUCAACUCAUAUGGGACUACCCCCUGAAUUUAAGCAUAUUAAUUAGGGGAGGAAAAGAAACUAACAAGGAUUUUCUUAGUAGCGGCGAGCGAAAAGAAAUCAGUUCAGCACUAAGUCACUUUGUCUAUAUGGCAAAUGUGAGAUGCAGUGUAUGGAGCGUCAAUAUUCUAGUAUGAGAAAUUAACGAUUUAAGUCCUUCUUAAAUGAGGCCAUUUACCCAUAGAGGGUGCCAGGCCCGUAUAACGUUAAUGAUUACUAGAUGAUGUUUCCAAAGAGUCGUGUUGCUUGAUAGUGCAGCACUAAGUGGGUGGUAAACUCCAUCUAAAACUAAAUAUAACCAUGAGACCGAUAGUAAACAAGUACCGUGAGGGAAAGUUGAAAAGAACUCUGAAUAGAGAGUUAAAUAGUACGUGAAACUGCUUAGAGGUUAAGCCCGAUGAACCUGAAUAUCCGUUAUGGAAAA
rnacentral:ncRNA from 1 species